CCGGCACGGGUGAGUAACACGUAUCCAACCUGCCGUCUACUCUUGGACAGCCUUCUGAAAGGAAGAUUAAUACAAGAUGGCAUCAUGAGUCCGCAUGUUCACAUGAUUAAAGGUAUUCCGGUAGACGAUGGGGAUGCGUUCCAUUAGAUAGUAGGCGGGGUAACGGCCCACCUAGUCUUCGAUGGGUAGGGGUUCUGAGAGGAAGGUCCCCCACAUUGGAACUGAGACACGGCCCAG
rnacentral:rRNA from 1 species